rnacentral:lncRNA from 12 species
GAGAAACUCUAAGCAGACUCUGCAUUGAGCAAGGAGUCUAACUCGGAGCUUGAUCUCAUGACCCUGAGAUCAUGACCUGAGCUGAAACCAAGAGUUGGGAUGCUAACCCACUGUGCCACCCAGGUGCCCCUGCUUUUUUAUUUUAUUUUAUUUUAUUUUAUUUUAUUUUAUUUUAUUUUAUUUUAUUUUUAUUUUAUAUUUUAUUUUAUUUUAUUUUAUUAUUUAUUUAUUUUUUCCCCUGCUUUUUGUUUAUUGUUUUUGUUAUUGCUGUUUUUAGCAUCAUUUUUUUUUUCUCUAAGCAGAUAUGAUGCCAAGAGGAAAGCAGAGUUGCUUUGUUUUUGGUGGACUACUUCAGAAAAAGGAUUCUGUGAUUUCCUACAACAACAUGCUUCAGUCUCAUUUAAGGAUUCCUGCAAAGAGGUAAUGCUAGGUAUUUUUCAUUUUUACCAUGGCAUUCUUCAUUCUCCAGAACUAGAGGUGGCAUUUGAACAGAAAGGAAGGAAUCAGAAAACAUGACAGAGCUGGAAGGACACUUUGAGGCCAGACAGCUCUAGUUCAGCUCCUCACUUGUACAGAUAUAGAGAUUCAAGCUCAGAGAGACUAAAUGACUUGCCCAAAGUCACACAGCAAGUUUGUUACAGAGGAAAAAGAAGCAGGUGAGAAGUGAAGGGCUGCUUGUGCUGGACAAUCCGAUGUCUUUUGUUUGUUUGUUUAAUUGUCUAUUGAUUAGUACAGGCCCUGGUGGGAGUAGGGAACAUAAGAGAGACUUGAAUUCACAGAAUCCAGGAUCUGCCAAAAAGUAGCUAUAUAACCUUAUACCUGUCUCUGAGCCUUGCUUCUCUCAUUGGCAAAGAGAGGAUAAUUCAUCCAUAUUCAUCAUUAUAACAUAGCCCCAUAAGGUUGUUGGUGAAGGAAAGGAGUUCAUACAUGUGACGUAGCUCGGGAUAGUACCUAAUCCAAAAUAAGAGCUCAGAAAGCAUCAGCUAUGAUAAUGAUGAUGAUGACGAUGAUGUUGACAGUAUCCAGAAAAUUAGAUCUGAGUGGGUCAAAAGAAACCCAGACAGAGGAUCUAUGAGGAAGUCUCCUUUGUCAGCCCCUCUCAUUUUGCUCUGUGGUGUGGUGCUCAUCAAAUGAAUGUCUGGCAGAGGAUACUAUGCGUGUCUUAUGUGUGUCAUGCUACCUCCUUUCUACCUGGCAUGGAAGAAAGAUAGAAGACUGCAGCUAGGCAGGUUACAGUGAAGUGGAGUGCUGUAGGAUGGGAUGGGAUGUAGCAGGAGACAGUAUUGGGUUAAGGGAGUGUUAAAAAUCCAGGGUUUGAAUCCACAUGGAUUUCACUUGGGCUGGUGUGUCUCUUUUUUGAGUUUUUGUGCUUCCUAUUCCGUGAAGAGGAUGUUCCUGUGAUUGAUUUGUGAAUUGCGGACUGGGCUCCUGCUCUAUGCUGAGUACUGGACUAGGUGUGCAGACACAGUGGACGUUCUGGUUCUCCCUUGGUGUCUAGCAGAACAAUCUCUUGUGUGCUUACCAUGUGGGGACGCUGUGAAGACCAGAUGCUCUCAGAAAUAGAAGGGAUUAGCAAUUUAAAUUAUAAUUACAAAUUUAAUUACAAAUUCAAACUGUGUUCUAAAAGGAACAACAACAACAAUAACAAUAAAAAGAUUACUCUGGCACA